rnacentral:tRNA from 1 species
GGUCCGGUGGCUCAGCCUGGUUAGGGCACCAGCUUGGUAAGCUGGGGGUCGCGGGUUCAAAUCCCGCCCGGACCU